UCCAAUACAAAAUAUAGAAAAAUCCAAUGAAUUUCAGUAACUUGUUAUACCUAGAAAAAUUUAUAGAAAAUUCCUAUACAUUUAAUCAUUUUGAAGUUAAUAUACAUAUCAGCGUGCCUGAAUCGUUGGUUAAGAAGAAACAGGUUUCAUUAUUGUUCGGGAAACAUAAACCGAGAAGAACGAUUUUAUGUGUACUUCGGUAUCAGUAAUGUUCCGCCAAAGGAUUUAACCAGCUGAACCUCAUCGCCGCGACAUUAGCCAAAAAUUUAUGGAGGUAAAUAAUUGUUGGGCUUGGAAUGCCGGACAGCAGCACAGAAAAACAGCUUCGGAUUUCAGCGAGUACGAGCACAGUACUGUCUUUAACAUACAUAGAAAACAUAACCUCGCUGGAAGAACGUAAAAUUUUAUGUACCGUGUUUAAAAAUCAAUGCGUUUAAUGAUCCGAAUAUGUCGAGUGGAGCGGAUAUAACGGAGUCAUAAAUUCCAUCUAGAACAGGAAAGUUUUCG